rnacentral:rRNA from 1 species
UCUGGUGGCGAUGGCGAGAAGGUCACACCCGUUCCCAUACCGAACACGGAAGUUAAGCUUCUCAGCGCCGAUGGUAGUUGGGGGCUGUCCCCCUGUGAGAGUAGGACGCUGCCGGGC